GAUUAAUCAAGAGGAAUGUAUUAACUGCGGACCAAGAUUCGGUGGAGAAAGCAACAAAAUUGAAGGCUCACAAAAACCUAGAGUCUGAGCCAAUCAAAGGUGGAUCAGAAGUCACAAUUCUUAUCUGAAAUCAUGCUGGUAUGUUCUAAAGAAGCUUUACCUAUUGUUAUAGGUGGCGACUUCAACAUUAUUCGAAGACCAGAUGAGAUAAGUAAAGGCAAUUAUAAUGAUAGAUGGUCUUUCAUGUUUAAUGUUGUGAUCAACUCUUUAAAUCUUAGGGAAAUAGAAAUGUCAAGACUUAGGCUAAUCAUCUACAGAAUCAAACUUUUGAAAACUUAGAUAAGAUCCUAGUAUGCACAGAUGUCGAGGCUAAAUAUCCAUACCAUAGUACGUGCUUUAAUUAGAGAAAUAUCUGAUCAUACACCUCUACUCUUUUCUACAAAUAACCCAUCCUCAUCUUAUCAACCCUAAUUCAAAUUUGAAUUGGGAUGGUUGCUGAGAGAUGGCUUUUGUGAGAUGGUUAGUGACAUAUGGAACAGUACACUAGUGCCAAGCUAAGAUGAUUAAAAGGCUUCGCCAAUACCUUAGAGGAUGGGCAAAGAGUGAGAGUCACUAGUGCAAAAAAAACUCAAUGGUGGCGGUUGUGUCUAUUGUACAGGCGGUUUCUGUUAUUGUGCGCCAGUGUAAAGAAAACAACCAGCCCGACUCAUAAACCGCUUGUGUAAACCACUUUCUACAGGCAGUUUUCUUAACAUAACCGCGAGUGGAAAUGCCUGAAUUUCACUGGCGGUUCAGUUAAGUGAACUGCCUGUGGAAAUUGAUUUACAUUGGCAGUCGACUUAGAUGAACCGCCAGUGGAAAUAAGUCAUUUACAUUGGCAGUUAUGUUAAGUCAACCGCUAGUGUAAAAGGAUCUCUACAGGUGUUUCUUUAAGUCAGCCACCAAUGAAAUCUCUAUUAUAAAUACCCCUUCUUUCUCCCUGAGCAGAGUUGUUUCUCGCAGCCACCUUCCAUAGGAGGCUAUUUUGGAGGUCUAGUUUUCACUAAAUAUAUGGGGAGAGAUUUUAAUCUUCAUUUCUUGGAAGGAGGUUGCUAAGAAAGUGCACGUGACCGAAAGAGCGACCGUUGAACCGAACCCCG